CUUUGAUUUUCCUUCUCCGUCCCCUUCCCCUCUGCUGCUUACAUGGCUUCUUAGCUCUCGCUUGGACUCUUAAUUGCCUCUUGACAGGUUUCUCUGUCUAGUUUCUUUCCUUCUAAGCUGACUCCAAUGAAUGACCUCUAUAUCUGCAGGAAGUCUGGUUCUGAUCCUGAUACUUAGGAUCAGAAUUGUACUGUACUGUAUAGGAAUAGCUCCUGUUGCUAACGGGAUAAAGUUCAGAGCCCUGCGUUGGUACUUGGUGUUCUUUCUGUUCUGGCUCAGCCCACCUUUCAGCCUUUCUGACUGCUCUCCAUGUGGCGUCCAUGCUGAGCAGACUGGAAGAUUUGCUUUCCCUGAAUUCAUUCUAUGCAUCUCCACCUCUGUGCCUUUGUUCGUGUUUCCUACCAGCUGGGGUGUCCCUGCUUCCUCUGAAUUGGAUGUAUUUAUCCUCUGAACCUCCGCUAGCUUUACCUCUCAUGUCACUUUUGUUCUUUCUUUUCAGGAUCUGGUUUUGUCCUCACCAUGCUGAGAUCCCAGAUUUCAGGGAUGGUUUCAUUCCUCUUUCCCUGUAGCACAAAGCCAUAUUAGUAAACAGUUGCUCAGGAAAUAUUUGUAGCAUAGGUGAAUCAGGCCCACCUGGUAAAAUGUAAGGAUAUCUGCACUUUCACUUUUAUAGCUCCCUCUGGUUCUCACCAGGGUGUUUUUUUAACUUCAGCAUACUUCAUUUUCUUUUGAGCAGUACUUAACUUCCAGAAAGGUACCUGAAGAGAAAGUAUCUUCUUUCCUCUAUCCAGUGGGGAGACUUGGCAAACAUACAAGCUUUGCCCGAGGCCUGGGACCGAAUUUCAAAAGACGAACACCAAGAUCUCGUACAAGGUACUGGUUUGUGUUCCUCCUUUGUGUCUCCUCCCCUCCUUUCUCUCCCUGUGACUCACCUCUUUGGACGCAUUAGGAACGUGCCCUUGCUGUGCCUCUGUGUGUUUUAUGUUCUCGGAAGAGGUGAUAAUACCAUUUUUUCUCUCUUCCUAUUUCAGAUAUCCUAUUGAAUGUUUCCUUCUUCCUGGAAGAGUAAGGAAGCUGUGCGUAUCUGGAGACCACGGGCACCACAGUUGAAGACUGACAUUCUGAACCCUGAUGUUUCUAAAGAAACGUCAGUAUUUUCAGUCUGACAUAUUUGAAAUAUCAGUGCCUUGAACCUGAGGACUGGGUCUUGGGGAGGAUUAGCGCCUGGAUGUCUGAUGCUGGAGCUGCGGCAUGCCAGGCCAUGGCUGAGAGUAUGUGAGCCAUGCCUUGCCCUUUUCUGAGGCUCAGGGAAGUGGAUGGAGAUAGAGAGACAACAGGAAAGACGGUGCUGAAGAACAUAGUGUCUUUCCUCUAUUGUGGACUUGAAGAGGUGGGGAAGCAAGGACAAGAGGCAAAGAGCCACACUGCCCUUGGCAUCAUCCAAAGCAUUGUCUGGUUGACACCAGGUCCUGGUUUUGUGUCUUUUGUCAAUACCUGAAUCCUUGACAAAAGAAAAAGUGGUUUUGAUGAUUUAAAGAAAUAAGGGUGAUUUUGACAGAAAAUAUAUUUUAAAAAUUUUGACCAAUUGCAAUAGUUCUCCUCAAGCCAAUUUCCAGAACCUGCCACCAGGGGGAGGUGGUGCAGCAUGAAUCAUUCUGAAUGCUUUGUCUUUGAAGUGUUCCCCUAUUGUUACCAUCUCAGAGGAAGUAACUGGGCAUGGUGAGACUUCUAAAAUGACAGGAGUUUUUUUGGCCAAAGCUGGCAUCUGACUUGCCACAUUCCUCUGAGUCUGGAGUAGCUGCAGGGGUGGGAGAAUGCCAGCCCAGAGUCAGUCCAUCGGGGUUACGUUUCCAAGGCCUGCUGCCUUCAUCCAUGUAAUGGCCGUGUUACUUUCAGAUCUUUCAGCUUCCCAGGGUGUUGUGGGAAUCUUGGUCAUUGAAUGUAAAGGGACUUAGUAAAGGGUAUAGAUAUUUUUCAAAAAUGAAAAUAACUUUUUUUCUUAUAAGUGGUAAGCUUUUAUAAAGAUCAUAGGAAAACCAGAAAAAUGUAAAAUGUAGAAAAUUGUAAAACAAACUUCAUUAGAGAUAUUUUGAUAGGUACCUUUUCAGUGUCUAUUUACAAAUUUUUUCUUUUAAUAUAGAUAGGGUCUCACUGUAUUGCACAGCUCACUCCUGAGCUCAAGGGAUCCUCCCACCUCAGCCUCCCAAAAUAUUGGGAAUACAGGCAUGAGCCACUGCUCCUGACCAAUUCACAAAUUUUUUUAAAGAACAAACGUGGUAUCAUCGAUACAUACUGUUAGGUUGUCUUUUUUUUAAAAACCUAAUGUAAUUUGUUCAUCUUUUUAUAUCUGUAAAUAUAGCUCAACACAGUUAUAUUCCUUUUGUGAAUGUAUUAUAUCUACAAUUUACCUUUUUUCUUAGAUUUUACAUGCAUUUUCCCAAAUCUUUGUGUUUGCCUAUCUGUAAAGGUAAUACAUUCUGAUUACAAAAAAUGAAAAUGUUACAUAGAAAUGUACCAUUAUCCAUCUACCAGAUAACUAUUAUUAAUAAUGUGUAUUUAUUUUUCCAGGAAUUAAAAAAAUCUAUCAUAUAAGUAUUGCAAAUAAAACUUAAAAAGC
rnacentral:sRNA from 1 species